rnacentral:rRNA from 1 species
AUGGGAGAGGUGCUUAGUUUUGGGUUCAAUCUUGCGGUGUCCUCACCCAGUGACAAAGUAGGGGUAGUGAGGCACGUAUUUGUAUUGUUGCCAUCAAGGAUAAAAAAUGGGGUUUUCAUCAUAUUGCUUGAGUUUAUCCCUCUACAUCAUGUCAUCUUACUUAAUGUCACUACAAGGAUCCGGGUCUAUUGCAACAAAAAUGUUCGUCGCAAUACAAGCCGAUUUGUGGCGAUAAGUACCUAUUGCCACGAAACAGCAUUCGUUGGCAGCCGUUGCGAUUGGACACAUGGUAAUAGGUUAUUGCCACAAAAAAGCAAUUGUGGCAAUAAAGUGUGCUAUUGCAACAGCCAUGUGAGAAGUCGCCACAUAUUUUUCCAUGGCAACACUCAUCUGAUGCCACAAUUUGCUUUGUGGAGAUAG